UGGGGAAUUUUGGACAAUGGGCGAAAGCCUGAUCCAGCAAUGCCGCGUGUGUGAAGAAGGCCUUCGGGUUGUAAAGCACUUUUGUCCGGAAAGAAAUCCUUGGCUCUAAUACAGUCGGGGGAUGACGGUACCGGAAGAAUAAGCACCGGCUAACUACGUGCCAGCAGCCGCGGUAAUACGUAGGGUGCAAGCGUUAAUCGGAAUUACUGGGCGUAAAGCGUGCGCAGGCGGUUUGCUAAGACCGAUGUGAAAUCCCCGGGCUCAACCUGGGAACUGCAUUGGUGACUGGCAGGCUAGAGUAUGGCAGAGGGGGGUAGAAUUCCACGUGUAGCAGUGAAAUGCGUAGAGAUGUGGAGGAAUACCGAUGGCGAAGGCAGCCCCCUGGGCAAUACUGACGCUCAUGCACGAAAGCGUGGGGAGCAAACAGGAUUAGAUACCCUGGUAGUCCACGCCCUAAACGAUGUCAACUAGUUGUUGGGGAUUCAUUUCCUUAGUAACGUAGCUAACGCGUGAAGUUGACCGCCUGGGGAGUACGGUCGCAAGAUUAAAAC
rnacentral:rRNA from 1 species